AAUGAGUAAAUAUUGUUCCACAGUCCUUUAGGGACAAUCCAAAUAUCAAGGGAUCUGGGCUCUCACUGCAACCAAGUUUUUCUCCAGCAGAAAGGGAGUCCCGGAGGGGUUUCUGAGGCAAUGGCUCUCCCUGGAGCUUCCAUCCCUGGAUGAAGACGUCUAUCUCUGCAUAGACAGAGGCAGUACCGGUUAAGCCCAGGCUGCUGGAAUCCAGGGAGGUUUUAUGUGAGGCUGUCUUGGAGUGAGAGCAAUGCCUGUGACCCAGAUUACUGCCACCCAUUUUAUGGAUGAAGAAACUAUGGUUGAGUGGAUGCCCAAGGCCAUGCUGCUACAGUGUAUUUGAGCUGGGAUCCAACCUCCUGGUUAUACUCUUCUAACCACCAAUCCAUACAACUCAUCUGUUCUAUUUCUUCUGGCUGGAACAACUUUCUCUCCUCUAGCUGCCUGGAAAACUCCUACCUGACCUUCAAAAUUCAGGUCCAAUGCCUCCUCCUCUGUGAAGCCUUCUCUGAUCCCACUCCAGACAGUUUCAUCUGCUUGGUACCCAGAGCAUCAUGCAUAUGUCUUUACUACAUUGCUCAUCAAUCUAUUCUGAAAUGAUAUGAACAAUGCUCAUUUUCCCCCUCAAACUCUAAAUUCUAUUAUCACAGAGCUAAGUUUUCUUACUCCCUUACAUCAUUGACUGACACUGGAAAAUGCUGCCAAUGAAGCGGCCCAUUCCAUAUUUGCUUGGAUUUCACUGUUAGAAAGUUCUUUGUUAGGGUGAACCACACAGCUGGCCUCACUAACAUCCACCUCCUGGGAGGAGGAAGCAGUUGGUUCUACCAUCUUCCUCUCAUAGAAGCUCUUCAGAUGCUGAGGACACCUGUCACCUGUCCCAAGGGGCGUCCCUGAUCAUGUCCUGUGUUGUCCCCAGCCAUUUCCUAUAGAACUUCCUACUCUCUUCCCUCUAAACACAAAGAGCUUUUCCCUUUAACUCCUUAUUUGUCAUUGG
rnacentral:lncRNA from 1 species